AAGUCGUAACAAGGUAGCCGUACCGGAAGGUGCGGCUGGAUCACCUCCUUUCUAAGGAGCAACUCCCGUCGGUGGGUCACACAGGUGACUCCGCCACGGGCAGAGCCAUUUCGGAUUCACACGUAAUCCGGUGGUGCUCAUGGGUGGAACGCUGACAGCUACUUCUCGUCCGGGUCCCGUUUCUGUGCGGGAUCCGAGGAGUUAUAUCGGUGCACUGUUGGGUCCUGAGAGAACACGCGAGUGUUUUGUCAGCGACGAUGAUCCGCGAAACAAGAGGACAUGGUUUUCUUGCGGUAGGGGUUGUUGUGUGUUGUUUGAGAACUGCACAGUGGACGCGAGCAUCUUUGUUGUAAGUGUUUAUGAGCGUACGGUGGAUGCCUUGGCACCAGGAGCCGAUGAAGGACGUGGGAGGCUGCGAUAUGCCUCGGGGAGCUGUCAACCGAGCUGUGAUCCGAGGAUUUCCGAAUGGGGCAACCCA
rnacentral:misc_RNA from 1 species